UACGAAGGGGGCUAGCGUUGUUCGGAAUUACUGGGCGUAAAGGGCGCGUAGGUGGCUUUGCUAGUCGGGUGUGAAAUGCCUGGGCUUAACCCAGGAACUGCACUCGAAACUCCAAGGCUUGAGUGUGGGAGAGGUUGGUGGAAUUCCCAGUGUAGAGGUGAAAUUCGUAGAUAUUGGGAAGAACACCGGUGGCGAAGGCGGCCAACUGGACCACAACUGACACUGAGGCGCGAAAGCGUGGGGAGCAAACAGG
rnacentral:rRNA from 1 species